AGCUCCAAUAGCGUAUAUUAAAGUUGUUGCAGUUAAAAAGCUCGUAGUUGGAUUUCGGGAUGGGCCAGUCGGUCUGCCGCGAGGUAUGUUACUGGCUGGUCUGUCCUUCUUCGCAAAGACUGCGUGUGCCUUGAUUGAGUGUGCGUAGGAUUUGCGACGUUUACUUUGAAAAAAUUAGAGUGUUUAAAGCAGGCAAUUGC
rnacentral:rRNA from 1 species